rnacentral:rRNA from 1 species
AGCUCCAAUAGCGUAUAUUAAAGUUGUUGCCGUUAAAAAGCUCGUAGUCGAACUUCGGCGCCUGAUGGCCGGUCCGCCUUCUUGGUGUGUACUUGCUCAUCGGGCGCUUACCUCCUGGUGAACUCUGAUGUCCUUUAUUGGGUGUCAGAGCAAACCAGGACGUUUACUUUGAAAAAAUUAGAGUGUUCAAAGCAGGCCUACGCCCGAAUACAUUAGCAUGGAAUAAUAGAAUAGGACGCGCGUUUCUAUU